CGGCAACAGCUCAAAUUUGAAAUCUGGCUCUUCUAGGGUCCGAGUUGUAAUUUGUAGAAGAUGCUUCGGGUGUGGCUCCGGUCUAAGUUCCUUGGAACAGGACGUCAUAGAGGGUGAGAAUCCCGUA
rnacentral:rRNA from 1 species